rnacentral:ncRNA from 2 species
ACCCCAUCCCCGGGGAGCCGAGCGGCUGAGAGGUGGGUUUGCGCCCCACGACCCGUUGAACCUGAACCGGCUGAUACCGGCGGAGGGAGGGAGCGGCGUUGUCCA